UACGAAGGGGGCUAGCGUUGCUCGGAAUUACUGGGCGUAAAGCGCACGUAGGCGGUCUUUUAAGUCGGGGGUGAAAUCCUGGAGCUCAACUCCAGAACUGCCUUCGAUACUGGAAGACUCGAGUCCGGGAGAGGUGAGUGGAACUGCGAGUGUAGAGGUGAAAUCGUAGAUAUUCGCAAGAACACCAGUGGCGAAGGCGGCUCACUGGCCCGGUACUGACGCUGAGGUGCGAAAGCGUGGG
rnacentral:rRNA from 1 species